rnacentral:rRNA from 1 species
UCAUUAAGUUGGGCACUCUAAGUUGACUGCCGGUGACAAACCGGAGGAAGGUGGGGAUGACGUCAAAUCAUCAUGCCCCUUAUGAUUUGGGCUACACACGUGCUACAAUGGACAAUACAAAGGGUAGCGAAACCGCGAGGUCAAGCAAAUCCCAUAAAGUUGUUCUCAGUUCGGAUUGUAGUCUGCAACUCGACUACAUGAAGCUGGAAUCGCUAGUAAUCGUAGAUCAGCAUGCUACGGUGAAUACGUUCCCGGGU